rnacentral:rRNA from 1 species
UACGGGGGGGGCAAGCGUUGUUCGGAAUUACUGGGCGUAAAGGGCUCGUAGGCGGCCAACUAAGUCAGACGUGAAAUCACUCGGCUUAACCGGGGAACUGCGUCUGAUACUGGAUGGCUUGAGGUUGGGAGAGGGAUGCGGAAUUCCAGGUGUAGCGGUGAAAUGCGUAGAUAUCUGGAGGAACACCGGUGGCGAAGGCGGCAUCCUGGACCAAUACUGACACUGAGGAGCGAAAGCCAGGGGAGCAAACGGG